GACGAACCGUGCGAACGUUAUUCGGAAUCACUGGGCUUAAAGCGCGUGUAGGCGGGACGGCACGUCGGUCGUUGAAAGCCCCCGGCUCAACCGGGGAACGGGCGCCGAUACGACCGUCCUGGAGGGACGUAGGGGGACCUGGAACUUCCGGUGGAGCGGUGAAAUGCGUUGAGAUCGGAAGGAACGCCCGUGGCGAAAGCGAGGUCCUGGACGUUUUCUGACGCUGAGACGCGAAAGCCAGGGGAGCAAACAGG
rnacentral:misc_RNA from 1 species